rnacentral:rRNA from 1 species
CCUACGGGUGGCUGCAGUGGGGAAUAUUGGACAAUGGGCGAAAGCCUGAUCCAGCCAUGCCGCGUGUGUGAAGAAGGCCUUCGGGUUGUAAAGCACUUUCAGUGGGGAAGAAAGCCUUGGGGCUAAUACCCUCGAGGAAGUACAUCACCCACAGAAGAAGCACCGGCUAACUCCGUGCCAGCAGCCGCGGUAAUACGGAGGGUGCGAGCGUUAAUCGGAAUUACUGGGCGUAAAGCGCGCGUAGGCGGUCUGAUAAGCCGGUUGUGAAAGCCCCGGGCUCAACCUGGGAACGGCAUCCGGAACUGUCAGGCUAGAGUGCAGGAGAGGAAGGUAGAAGUCCCGGUGUAGCGGUGAAAUGCGUAGAGAUCGGGAGGAAUACCAGUGGCGAAGGCGGCCUUCUGGACUGACACUGACGCUGAGGUGCGAAAGCGUGGGUAGCAAACAGGAUUAGAUACCCCAGUAGUC